rnacentral:rRNA from 2 species
UUGACCUCAGAUCAGGUAGGAAUACCCGCUGAACUUA